AUGCUGGUUCUAGACAACAACCUACUAUCUACCCUGACGUUAUCAGCUUUGGAUGGCCUGAGUAACUUGCAGGAACUCUACCUGAGGAACAACGAGCUGGAGCUUCUGCCCUCUGAUGUGUUCAUCAACCUGCCCAAGCUUUCACAGCUGGCACUCAGCGGAAACCGCCUGAAGAUGGUUGAUGGAAACAUGUUCACCCAUAUGCCUGGUAAGAUAACUGCCAGCCUGACUUUUCCCUGUCCUAUUUUCCCAGGAAUUAGAGUGUAACUUAAACAAGUAUUGGCAGCAGGAUGCUGUUGUCGUGAUAAUCAUUUUUUCUGACCUGUCUUAGUUCUAAAGAAGCUGUACCUCCAUGACAACCCUUGGCAGUGUGACUGUAACAUUAGCCCACUGGUGCGGUGGAUGGGAGACACCAAGGCCAUACUUUCACCACGGCACAGCCUAAAGUGCGUGACUCCUCAAGAGCUCAGAAAUAAGAGCCUCAGCAGCCUGCAAAUUGAUAAACUGCUCUGUCACACUUAACAGUAUAGAUGAGGAUCACAGCGUGGGCUGGGACUCAUAGAGAUUUUUUUUUGAGUAGACUGGGUGGCAGAAUAAUCCUCUAUGAUAUUUUUAAACUGCAAUAUAUUACUGUCUUUCUCUAAAAUAUUGUAUUAUGUUUGCUUUAAAUGGCUAAAAUUCUAGAAUAAAAUGCCACAUUUUUCUGUGAUGCUUUGUUUUAUAAUAACAUAAUAUAAUAAUAAUAUUACUCUUUAUUUAGGUUUCUCACAAAAGUGGUGUUGGAUGUUUUCCAAUUUUAGUAAAUGGUAAUUUUUCCACUCAAAGCGCUUUAUGAAACUUGCCUCAUUCACACAACCACUUUUAACUAUGCUUUUUCUACAUAAGCGCUUUCUAUCUAACAUUCACACACAUUCACAAACCGAUGGAGAGCAACUUGGGGUUAGUGUUUUGCCCCAAAAUUAUUUGACAUGCUGAUUGGAAAACCUAGGGAUUAGAAGAUCGCCUGCUCUGCCUGGUAAAAUAACUGCCAGCCUGCCUGGUUUACCUCCUGAGCUACAGCCACCCUCAACUUUGACCCUUACUUUUUUUUUUUUUUUUUUUUUUUUACCAUGGUCUCUUUAAUAGCAGGUAAAACCCUUAAAAUCACUAAACCUGUAGGUAUAAGCUAUUUGUGGGACAGAAAGUUUUGCAUUAUCAGUGCUAUUUCCACAUGCAAAGAAUAAGUACUAACCCUUAUCACCGGUUGUGAGAUUAACAUUAUAAUUCCAUAUUGCUUGUCUUAAAAAGACUUUGCAGGUUUGGAAAGUGAUGGAUUACGUAUAAAGGGAUUACAUUAAUCACAUUCCAGGAAAUGGUUUCUCUAAUCUGUUACAGUUUAUGUAAAUAAAAAGGAAAAGAAAGGCAUUUGGAUAGACACUGCUAGGAUUCUGCACAGCUUAAUGUAAUAGUGAAGACAGCUGUAGAUAAUGAGAAGUUAUUGGAUUUGUAAUCUUGUCUUCAUUUUAAUGUGCAUCAGCACAUUAAAACAGCACAUAGAGACCCCAAGUCCUCUUGUUUAGCCUUUUGCCCAAUUACCCGGUUGCAAAGAUUUGUUGCUUGUGCAGCCUAAAAAGCACCAUAGUCAUAUCCAUAUCUUGGACUGGAUGACACUGAACCCAAAAACUAUGCAAACUCUAAGACCAUUAAACUCAAUCUGUUUGUACUGUUGCAUUAUAUUUUCAAUUUCAAUAAAUGUGUGUGCCAAGUUUUUGUAAAUUUUGUGCUCGAUCUUUAUUAUGAAGAUAAUCAUUUGUUUGCAUGUAAUGUCCUCAUAAUGUUUUUCUGAAGUUAUGCUGUUUUUCAUAUGGUGAAACAUCCUGCAAAGCAAAUUAAAUUAUAACUAGAAAAAUUUGCAUUUCCUGCGAAAAUGCUGUGUGGAUGCUUUAAAGCUGAAGCUGUCUGCUGAAACUAGCUGAAAAAGCUGAAAAGUUGCAGAAAUUGUAAAAACUUUGCAGAAGCAAAGGAACUUUGCUAAAAUGUAGUAACUUAGCAGAACUGUAAUAUCUUAGAGGAAACAUAAUACUUGGCAGAAAUACAAUAGCAUAGCAGAACUUAGCAGAAAUAUUGUAACUUACCAGAAACAUGAUAACUUCUCAAAAAUACAAGAAUUUAGGAGAAAUAGUAUAAGAUAACAGAAAGAAUAUAUUUAGCCAAACAUUCUUAAACAUUACAGAAAUACUAUGAUUUAGAAAAACAGUACAACAUAGCAGAAAUGCUGUGAUUUACCAGAGACACUGUAAUGAACUAUGAAUAUUGUAAUUUUAUAUAAAUACUAUGUUUUAGCAAAAAUACUCCAGUUUAGCACAAAUAUUAUAACAUAGCAGAAAUACUAUUCUAUAGCAGAAAUGCUAUAUUUAGAAAGAAAAAUAUAAUAUAGUAGAAAUACUAUGAUUUAGCAGAAAUCCUACAAUAUAGCUUAACAACAAUGAUUUAGAACAGAUACUAUGAUUGAGCAGAAUAAUAAUAACUUAAGUGAAAAUAUUGGAAAGGUAAAAUGAUAAGCUGAAUAAAAAGGAACAUGGUUAAGUUCGCUGAAAACUAAUUUUUGUUCACCUGUGAAAAAACAAAAUAAAAAUACAUUUAGAAAAAAAAACAAAUAAGAACAGCCAACAGAUAUACACAAAAUCAAAUAUGGAUACACAAAUCACCAAAUACACAGAAAAUGAAAUAUGGAUACACAAAUGUACAGAGAGAGACACACACACAGGGUCUAUGCCAGUCAACCAGUCUGAAUAUAUUAUAUUUUUAUCCAAUAAUGAGAUGCUGCCCUAAAAAGGGUCUUUGUGUGUGUGUCUUUCUUUCUCUCUCUCUCUCUCUUACACACACACACACACACACACACAGCAGCAGCAGCAGCAAGU
ensembl:lncRNA